rnacentral:rRNA from 1 species
UAGGGAAUAUUGCACAAUGGGCGAAAGCCUGAUGCAGCAACGCCGCGUGCGCUAUGACGGCCUUCGGGUUGUAAAGCGCUUUUCGUGGUGUUGUGGAAUUACAGUAUCCCCGUAAUAAUUCUCGGCUAACUACGUUCCAGCAGCCGCGGUAACACGUAUGAUCCAAGCGUUAUCCGUAUUCACUGGGCGUAAAGCUCGUGUAGGCGGCUUGGUAAGUUGGAUGUGAAAGCUCCUG